rnacentral:rRNA from 1 species
AUGAACGCUGGCGGAGUGCCUUAAGCAUGCAAGUGGAACGGGUCCACGUCGUUCCGCAAGGAACUAUGAGGACUAGUCGCAGACGGGUGAGUAAUACAUAGGAAUCUACCCAUUGGUGUGGAAUAACUAGCCGAAAGGCUGGCUAAUACCGCAUAACAUCUCACGAUAAAAGGGCGUAACAGCCCGCCGAUGGAGGAGCCUAUGUCCUAUCAGUUUGUUGGUGGGGUAAUGGCCUACCAAGACUAUGACGGGUAGCUGGACUGAGAAGUUGGUCAGCCACAAUAGCACUGAGACACGGGCUAUACAUCUACGGAUGGCAGCAACUGGGAAUAUUGCGCAAUGGACGAAAGUCUGACGCAGCGACUCCGCGUGAGGGAUGAAGGCCUUAGGGUCGUAAACCUCUUUUGACCCGCCAUAUGGCGAGUAGAAUAAGCACCUGCUAACCACGU